CUGGCAAUGCGCAGCAUCCCUUGGCUUCAGGUGCAUCAUUCCAGCUGCACGCAGCUGUCUUCCCUCUGUGUCUCUUCUUUUCUUCUUAUAAGGAUUCCAGUCAUAGGGUGUUAAGGGCCCACCUUACUCCAGUAUGUCGCCAAGUUAAUUCGUUACAUCUGCAACCACGCUAUUUCCAAAUGUCACAUUCUGAGGUUCCUGAUUGAAGGGGUGGGUUGCCACUCCACACCUGUGGGCAUUUUUCGUCAGGUGGAACGAGAGACUUGGAAAAGAAAGAGACACAGAGACAAAGUAUACAGAAAGAAAAUAGGGCCCAGGGGACCACCGUUCAGCAUACGGAGGACCUGUGCCAGCACCAGCCUCUGAGUUCCCUUAGUAUUUCUUGAUCAUUAUCGGAUGUUUCCCAGAGAGGGGGACUUGGCAGGACAAUAGGGUAAUAGUGGAGAGAAGGUCAGUAGGAAAACACGUGAACAAAGGACUCUGCAUCAUAAACAAGGACACCAUUCAACCCACAGCAGAGCCCCACCAUCACCUCUCUGCACAGGGCACCCUGCCUGUCUUUCCUCUCCAGCACCAAGACAGAGCCACGAGUGAUUUCUUGAAAUGAAACUGCACCCUCUCAUCCCAAUAAGACAUGGCCUCACUAGUGGGAGAUGAGCAAAUGAAAGCCUCCCUCAGGAUGGGCAUCCACACGUCCAGGGGAU
rnacentral:lncRNA from 10 species